GUCUGCAGCCAUGCCACCCGGAACGUGCCCAAUCUCGUCUGAUCUCGGAAGCUAAGCUAGGUCGGGCCUGGUUAAUACCUGGAUGGGAGACCACCUAGGAAGACCAGGUGCUGUCGUUG
rnacentral:rRNA from 1 species